GGUCAAGUGAAGAAGCGCAUACGGUGGAUGCCUUGGCAGUCAGAGGCGAUGAAAGACGUGGUAGCCUGCGAAAAGCUUCGGGGAGUCGGCAAACAGACUUUGAUCCGGAGAUGUCUGAAUGGGGGAACCCAGCCAUCAUAAGAUGGUUAUCUUGUACUGAAUACAUAGGUGCAAGAGGCGAACCAGGGGAACUGAAACAUCUAAGUACCCUGAGGAAAAGAAAUCAACCGAGAUUCCCUUAGUAGUGGCGAGCGAACGGGGACUAGCCCUUAAGUGGCUUUGAGAUUAGCGGAACGCUCUGGAAAGUGCGGCCAUAGUGGGUGAUAGCCCUGUACGCGAAAAUCUCUUAGUCAUGAAAUCGAGUAGGACGGAGCACGAGAAACUUUGUCUGAAUAUGGGGGGACCAUCCUCCAAGGCUAAAUACUACUGACUGACCGAUAGUGAACUAGUACCGUGAGGGAAAGGCGAAAAGAACCCCGGAGAGGGGAGUGAAAUAGAUCCUGAAACCGUAUGCGUACAAGCAGUGGGAGCCCACUUUGUUGGGUGACUGCGUACCUUUUGUAUAAUGGGUCAGCGACUUAUUUUCAGUGGCGAGCUUAACCGAAUAGGGGAGGCGUAGCGAAAGCGAGUCUUAAUAGGGCGUCUAGUCGCUGGGAAUAGACCCGAAACCGGGCGAUCUAUCCAUGGGCAGGUUGAAGGUUGGGUAACACUAACUGGAGGACCGAACCGACUACCGUUGAAAAGUUAGCGGAUGACCUGUGGAUCGGAGUGAAAGGCUAAUCAAGCUCGGAGAUAGCUGGUUCUCCUCGAAAGCUAUUUAGGUAGCGCCUCAUGUAUCACUGUAGGGGGUAGAGCACUGUUUCGGCUAGGGGGUCAUCCCGACUUACCAAACCGAUGCAAACUCCGAAUACCUACAAGUGCCGAGCAUGGGAGACACACGGCGGGUGCUAACGUCCGUCGUGAAAAGGGAAACAACCCAGACCGUCAGCUAAGGUCCCAAAGUUAUGGUUAAGUGGGAAACGAUGUGGGAAGGCUUAGACAGCUAGGAGGUUGGCUUAGAAGCAGCCACCCUUUAAAGAAAGCGUAAUAGCUCACUAGUCGAGUCGGCCUGCGCGGAAGAUGUAACGGGGCUCAAACCAUACACCGAAGCUACGGGUAUCACGUAAGUGAUGCGGUAGAGGAGCGUUCUGUAAGCCUGUGAAGGUGAGUUGAGAAGCUUGCUGGAGGUAUCAGAAGUGCGAAUGCUGACAUGAGUAACGACAAUGGGUGUGAAAAACACCCACGCCGAAAGACCAAGGUUUCCUGCGCAACGUUAAUCGACGCAGGGUUAGUCGGUCCCUAAGGCGAGGCUGAAAAGCGUAGUCGAUGGAAAACAGGUUAAUAUUCCUGUACUUCUGGUUAUUGCGAUGGAGGGACGGAGAAGGCUAGGCCAGCUUGGCGUUGGUUGUCCAAGUUUAAGGUGGUAGGCUGAGAUCUUAGGUAAAUCCGGGAUCUUAAGGCCGAGAGCUGAUGACGAGCUAACUUUUAGUUAGCGAAGUGGUUGAUGCCAUGCUUCCAAGAAAAGCUUCUAAGCUUCAGGUAACCAGGAACCGUACCCCAAACCGACACAGGUGGUUGGGUAGAGAAUACCAAGGCGCUUGAGAGAACUCGGGUGAAGGAACUAGGCAAAAUGGCACCGUAACUUCGGGAGAAGGUGCGCCGGUGAGGGUGAAGGACUUGCUCCGUAAGCUCAUGCCGGUCGAAGAUACCAGGCCGCUGCGACUGUUUAUUAAAAACACAGCACUCUGCAAACACGAAAGUGGACGUAUAGGGUGUGACGCCUGCCCGGUGCCGGAAGGUUAAUUGAUGGGGUUAGCUAACGCGAAGCUCUUGAUCGAAGCCCCGGUAAACGGCGGCCGUAACUAUAACGGUCCUAAGGUAGCGAAAUUCCUUGUCGGGUAAGUUCCGACCUGCACGAAUGGCGUAACGAUGGCGGCGCUGUCUCCACCCGAGACUCAGUGAAAUUGAAAUCGCUGUGAAGAUGCAGUGUAUCCGCGGCUAGACGGAAAGACCCCGUGAACCUUUACUAUAGCUUUGCACUGGACUUUGAAUUUGCUUGUGUAGGAUAGGUGGGAGGCUUUGAAGCGUGGACGCCAGUUCGCGUGGAGCCAUCCUUGAAAUACCACCCUGGCAACUUUGAGGUUCUAACUCAGGUCCGUUAUCCGGAUCGAGGACAGUGUAUGGUGGGUAGUUUGACUGGGGCGGUCUCCUCCUAAAGAGUAACGGAGGAGUACGAAGGUGCGCUCAGACCGGUCGGAAAUCGGUCGUAGAGUAUAAAGGCAAAAGCGCGCUUGACUGCGAGACAGACACGUCGAGCAGGUACGAAAGUAGGUCUUAGUGAUCCGGUGGUUCUGUAUGGAAGGGCCAUCGCUCAACGGAUAAAAGUACUCCGGGGAUAACAGGCUGAUACCGCCCAAGAGUUCAUAUCGACGGCGGUGUUUGGCACCUCGAUGUCGGCUCAUCACAUCCUGGGGCUGAAGCCGGUCCCAAGGGUAUGGCUGUUCGCCAUUUAAAGUGGUACGCGAGCUGGGUUUAGAACGUCGUGAGACAGUUCGGUCCCUAUCUGCCGUGGACGUUUGAGAUUUGAGAGGGGCUGCUCCUAGUACGAGAGGACCGGAGUGGACGAACCUCUGGUGUUCCGGUUGUCACGCCAGUGGCAUUGCCGGGUAGCUAUGUUCGGAAUAGAUAACCGCUGAAAGCAUCUAAGCGGGAAACUAGCCUCAAGAUGAGAUCUCACUGGAACCUUGAGUUCCCUGAAGGGCCGUCGAAGACUACGACGUUGAUAGGUUGGGUGUGUAAGCGCUGUGAGGCGUUGAGCUAACCAAUACUAAUUGCCCGUGAGGCUUGACCAU
rnacentral:rRNA from 1 species